CUAGUAACGGCGAGUGAAGCGGCAACAGCUCAAAUUUGAAAUCUGGCCCCCGGGUCCGAGUUGUAAUUUGUAGAGGAUGCUUUUGGUGCGGUACCUUCCGAGUUCCCUGGAACGGGACGCCAUAGAGGGUGAGAGCCCCGUCUGGUUGGACGCCAAACCUUUGUAAAGCUCCUUCGACGAGUCGAGUAGUUUGGGAAUGCUGCUCUAAAUGGGAGGUAUAUGUCUUCUAAAGCUAAAUAUUGGCCAGAGACCGAUAGCGCACAAGUAGAGUGAUCGAAAGAUGAAAAGCACUUUGAAAAGAGAGUUAAAAAGUACGUGAAAUUGUUGAAAGGGAAGCGCUCAUGACCAGACUUGGGCCCGGUUGAUCAUCCAGGGUUCUCCCUGGUGCACUCUUCCGGCCCAGGCCAGCAUCAGUUCGCUGUGGGGGAUAAAGGCUUCGGGAAUGUGGCUCCCUCGGGAGUGUUAUAGCCCGUCGUGUAAUACCCUGCGGCGGACUGAGGUUCGCGCAUUCGCAAGGAU
rnacentral:rRNA from 1 species